UUGUAUUUAUAUAUAUUUAUAUACACAUACAUAUAUAAAUACAUAUACUGCACAUAUUUUUUCUGAACCAUUUAACAACAAGGUACCUCUUGAUUCCUAAAUAUUUCAGCAUGUAUUUCCUAAAGAUCUUAGCUAUUUUAACAAAUUAUGCUAAUAAAUGUCUUUUCAAGCAUAAAAUAGAAAAAAAAUGAUCCAGGAUCCAAUGUAGAAUCAUAUAUUGCAUUUAGCUGUCAUGUCUGUUUAGUUUUCUUUAAUCUGCAAUAUUUUCUUAGACUUUCUUUGUCUAAGAAAAAUAUUUUUUGAAGAUGAUAAUAGUUAUUUUAUAGCAUGUACUCCAAUUUCAGUUUAUCUGAUGUUUCCUCGUGAUUAGAUUUAGCUUAUACACUUCUGUCAAGGAAUACCACUGAAAGUAUGUUUUGCCCUUCACAAUAUAUUGCAUACUAGGAAGCACUUGGUGUCAAAUUGCUCUGUAACUUGAACUUUUAAUUUCUUGUUACAGAAUGCUGUUGAGGAGAUUUCAGGAUGUAACGCUUUGAUGCCCUUUGGUGAAUUCAUGGAUAGCUAGGCAGUUUGGGCAGAACUGUCAAAUCAGUAUGUAUCAACUCCUCCAAGCUUUCAAAGUCAGCCAUGACACCAGUGUACUUGACCUGCAAAAAGAUAUAAGAAAACUUUUUCUCUUAAGCUACCUAUGACUUAGAGCAAUUUGGUAAAAUAUACCUUCGUGAGCAGAAUUGAAACAUUUGUCUUUUUCUCCCUACUUGAUUCCUCCAGAAUUCAGAAACUCUGUGGAUGCCUCUUAGUAAAUACCAGAUUGCUUGUACCAUAGGCCUAAAUUUGGGAACCACCUGCAUCAUCACCUCCUGAAAUGAGACGGCUGUUUAACUGAACUGUCCUAUUUUCAAGACUUAAACUGGUUUUAAAAUAUAUAUAAUAAUGUUCUAAUUGGACCUAUCCUAAGGCUUUAACAUAAAAAUUGCACAAAUAUUGAACUGAAUAUAAACUCAUAUAUGGUAAGCAUGUCUCUUGCCCACAUCUCCCCUACAUGGGACAUAAUGGACCCAAGAAAGGCAUUGUCACCUUGGCAUCGAGGGACUUUAAAAUGUUUUGUUUGAUCUAUGAUGGUUUCUGAAAGAAAAAUCCUGAUCAAAAGGGGAAAAUUAGGAAUGGAGUGCAGAAAUAAAAUGGAGCCACUAUAGUCAAGCUGCUAAUUACUAAUAUCAAGUAGGUUAAGGUAUGAGGAAACUAUUCUAUUCUUGUUUUAACUAGACUGAGACAAAGUUAUGAAAUUUCCAGUCCUGCCUCAAUGCCGGUACAUACAUCAAACCUCCAGAUAACCCUCUGAUUUAACCCCUGAAGGAUGAAGGAAAGAAUUUUCAUGUAUCCAGACCACAUGACAUGCAGUGUCCACAUCACUGGUCAUCUAGAGAAUUACCAUCUUGGACCAAUCCAGAGGCUAAGAAUGCAGGACUGAUUUUUCUCAAGAAUGUACCUUUUACUAUAAGACACUUAGCUUUUCUUUUUCUUUUGUUUUGGAAGACUCUGGCUAUUUCCUAGCAAUGUUUCUAGUUUGUAAACCCUAAUACCCUUGAAUAAAUUGUAUUAUUUAUUUCUA